AAAUGUUGAAUACAAGCAGGCAGGUCUUUGUACGCUCGAACUUAUGCAGCUUUGCUCUGAGAAAGCAAGCUUCGAGAUAUAUGGCCAGCGACCCUAUUCAACAAAUUUAUCUGGAUAAAAUCAAGGAGUAUGCAACAAAGUCUAAAGCUGGAGCUGUUCCAACUGACCCAGUGAUGGAAGCGAAGCUGACUGACGAGAAGAAGAAAUUGAAAGACAUUUAUAGUCGAAACCCGUACGCCGCCGACAAGAUUGAUGAUCCAACGAAACCUCCCACGUUCGAGUUCAAAGAUCCUAAUUUGAAGGAUAUCUUCUAAUGUCUUCGCAUUUAUCAAUAUAUUGUAACAAGAGAAACUGAAUAUGGUUCAACUUGAUAUGACUCUUAACAGACACAACUCGAUACAAAUUUACUUUUUAAAACUAA